UCAUGUUUGGUUCAGGUUAUAUAACUUUCCCAGGGAAUGUCAGAUAACCUCCUCAUUAGGUUGUUAGCUAUUGGAAGGGAAUAUGAAAUACCCUCCAAUUUCUUAGGUAAUCUCACAUUCCCUUGUCUUAUUACUAAUAUUCAGUUUU